CUUUCCUUCAAACGCAAGUUGCUCAAGUGUGCUCUCAAAACACAGAACAAGGAGAUUUUUGGGGAUGUUUAUAAGAAAUUUAAAAAUGCUCUUGAUGCAGUUAUUCAUAUUCAAGAAAAGGAAAAUAUUCUUAGUGUUUUAGAUGAUCUUGCAAAUGAGGAAAGCUUGCACAACAUUCUCUUGAUAUAAAUUUGGAAACUCAUGAUGCUUUAUGGAAAGAGCAAACUCAUGUCCAGAUGGUUUUGGUGGAUGUUUCUUCAAGCUCUUUUGGGAUGUGGAACAUGAUUCAUUUUGAAGAUAAACUUAUGAAUUUGCAACAUAUAAUUCAUAAUAUCAAAGUAGGUUUUUACUUGUCAGGUACUAAUUCUAAGGGAUGCAUGAGAUCUUCUAUGUGAGACUUUAGGGUCCUCAAAUAUAUGACAACUCCCUCUAUUAUCUUGGAUAAAAAGCAAUAUUGGUGGUGCUUCUAGAGGUUCACCAAGUAGUUCUUCUUGUGGGGGACUUUUAAGAGAUCAUUAUGCCUCUUUUUGGGUAGAUUUGCGGUGAAUUUAGAAGUUAUCUCUAUUUAUCUUCAUGCUGAGUUUAAUGUUGUCAUGUUGGCUAUUGAGUGGCAAUAAAAAAAGGUUGCAUUAAUAUAUGGUUGAAGUGAAAUUUUAACAUCA